UGAGGAAUAUUGGUCAAUGGGCGAGAGCCUGAACCAGCCAAGUAGCGUGAAGGAUGACUGCCCUAUGGGUUGUAAACUUCUUUUAUAAAGGAAUAAAGUCGGGUAUGGAUACCCGUUUGCAUGUACUUUAUGAAUAAGGAUCGGCUAACUCCGUGCCAGCAGCCGCGGUAAUACGGAGGAUCCGAGCGUUAUCCGGAUUUAUUGGGUUUAAAGGGAGCGUAGAUGGAUGUUUAAGUCAGUUGUGAAAGUUUGCGGCUCAACCGUAAAAUUGCAGUUGAUACUGGAUAUCUUGAGUGCAGUUGAGGCAGGCGGAAUUCGUGGUGUAGCGGUGAAAUGCUUAGAUAUCACGAAGAACUCCGAUUGCGAAGGCAGCCUGCUAAGCUGCAACUGACAUUGAGGCUCGAAAGUGUGGGUAGCAAACA
rnacentral:rRNA from 1 species